UGCCAUCCCUUGAGGACGAGGCCAGGACUCAGGCCCCUGGUAAACUCUCCCGGAUGUGUGCAGGCGCCCCAGCGGAGGCCGCGCUCCCCCUGCACCUGAGCCUCCCCAGCCCCGCCCGCCGGAUGGCAGUUUAGAAGCAGAAGGUAGCCCGGCAACAGCAGGUGACCUCGGCAGCCCCUAGCUGCUCCCACAGGACCCUUCCUCAAGGGAGCCUCCCUGCCUGUGCAACUACACCGAGAUUUCUACCGGGCCAGGAGGGAGAACGGUGCCGGUCCGCGCGAUGCACCCACGUCCUCUCUAGUCUCUCAACAGACACAGCGCUAAAAACAGAAACAAGCCGGGGGGAGGGAGACGAUGGGGCUCACGAGAGACAGAGAGGAUGCCGGGCAGGUGGGGCCGGAAGGGCAGGAGGAGCCAGAGGCCCUCAGGUGAAGCGUUUAAAACGGGACAGUUGUUGUGAGCUCGCUCACUCAGCCGGCUGACUCCACACCUCUCCGCAUUUCAUCUGGGGCAGGCUGUCUGUCUGUCUCAGCUCUCAGCGUGGCUGAUCACCGGCCCAGACCCGCAGGGCAGCAUCCCGAAGUCAGGAGAAGGUCACGCAGCUGUGAACACUGGGGUGGGGGUGUCGGGGGUGGGGCUCGGGUUGGGGUGACGCCCAGAGGAUUGUCAUCAUUUCACCACGGACAGCGGACGCCCCAGGAGGAGACUGCCAGUACCCACCCGGGGUUUGACUGGAUCCUGCUACAAACCCCAGCUCAAGUUUUGGCUGCCAUCCUGGGCUUUCUGCCACUGUGUAGAACCUUCCAGAAUACUGGGCAAAGAAGGCUCACCGUCAGUACGGUUGGUCCCUCCUCCCUGGAGAAACCGCACGUCCACUGGCUAAGUUUUCUGCUCUUCCUCGUCCCACCACGGCCUGCAGCCCCCCUCAGCAGGGACGUGGCAAGGACUUCUUGCCGCUCAGUGGGAUCAAGCAGCUUAACACCUCAGCUAGGAAGACUCAAGGAGCCGGGCCACACGCGCCCCUGACUGCACAGGACUGAGGACCCACGUUUCCGUCCUCCUAGGAUUCCUGCUGUGCACCCGAGGGUGGACUGUACCUGCACGAUGCCUCUGCUCCCGAUCCCGGUGAGCCCAGGGGAGUGGAAGCUCCACUGGCGUCCAGCGAGCUCCCGCUUCCCACGGCUCCACGUCAGAUCUUCGAGCGAGGCAAGUGGGGUCAGGUGGGCCCAAACCAACGCCUUCUCUCUUGGCCCCGGGGGCUACCCGGGCAGAUGGACAGGCCCCAGCGCUCCCACCUGCUGCAGAAGUGCAGCCCGCCCUGCUCAUCAUUUUGGGAUCUCAGAACCUCUAGGGGGAGCACUACAGGACGGCGUGCGCCCUCAGCGUCAGUGACGUCAGACUUCCUACUUCUGUUUUAGACGCAGGUGAGGCCUUCCUGAGACAAGUCCAUGGGAAAUCCACUGUGGAAAACAGACUUUUAAACAAACUGGGGCUGGAAUGAGGGUCUGGAGUCCUGCUUGCUGGCUUUUCCUCUCACCUGCUGGGUGGCCAAGCAUUGUUAUAGGAGAUAAAAAGUGAUUUGGGGAUAAGCAGAUGGAAAAGGUAGGGGAGGCUUUUGGGGGAACAAGGAAGAGCCAUCCAGCCUAGACUGCAGACCUUCGGGGAUCUAAAGGGACACCGGGCACCUGUAAGGGAAGCUGAGUGUCAGAAAGCUAGGGCCCCCACCGGGCCAGCGGCAGGAGAGAAGGGGACGCCCGUGGGACAUCACCGCCCCAGGUCCGCACCCUCCCUGCAGCGUGGUGUGUGGUGCGGGGACAGCAGUGGAGGCAGGACAGGGCUAACGCAGCAGGCGGGCGUCGUGCAAGCUCUGAGCCCCGCCCACUCAGCCGACCCCCCACCCUCCCUGCUCAUUCGGGAAGGGGGCUCCUUGAGGACAACUCCUGCUCCUAUCCCAGGAGCCCCGAGCAGUGCCCGGGCACUCUCUGGGGUCAGAUGGAGACCCCCCUUCCUCGGCUGGAAUUCGGCUGCUUUCUGCUUCCUUUCCAGAAAGCAGGGGAGGAAAGGCCCGGGCUCUCCCUGGAGAGGGAGGCCCUGCACAGCCGUCCCGUGAGGGUGGGACAGAUAUUCGAACCAGUAAGAUCCGGAAUGGGAAAAUGCCUGACCCUGACUUCCCGGACUUCCCAGGAGGAAGGCCGGGGCGGCCUGCCUGUGCUCCGGGCGUCUACUGGAGCCAGCACGCGGGCUCCCUCCUGCUCAGUCUCCCGACACUCACCCUUCCCGCCAGAGAGGGAAGGAACAGACGCCAGUUAGCAGGGAGAGCAAAUGCGGAAGAGAGGCGGGAUUAAGACAGUAACGUGGGAGGCCCGAGGGGGAGGCUCUUGGAUACUCGCGGGCUGACACUUCUCUUGUUCUUUCUUGCCUGCCUUUGAGCCUGUGGACGCAGCACGUGUCUCUGUCAAGCCCCACCCCCGCAAGUCUGACACCAGAACACUUAUGGUUGGCUCAAAAAUCUAAACGAAUCCAGCUCUGGUCAACCUGCCCGGUUCAUAAUGCGGCAAGCCACAGACAACGCGAAGGCUCUUCCUGCGGCUCUGUGCCGGGGUUGGGCACGGGGCUGGGCGGGGUGGCCGAAGGCGCGGACUCGACUCGACACGCAGAUCUGAGAAGCCCCACGAGGGACUCACUACCGAGAAACUCCUUCACGGCCCUGUCGGGGAAGAGCUGGCUGCCUUCCUGCGUUCCCCUCCGGGAAAAGGCCCAGUGACCGGGGAGAGGAGAGCACAGCGUCAGCCAGGGUCUGACAAUCUACCACCGGGACCGCCUGCUCUGAGCCCGAGAGCGGAUGGCACUGCAGCGCCAGGCUGGCUGGCAGAGCGGCUCCUAGACUGCACGUGCAAACGAGACAGGAAGGGCUGGCUACCGGCGAAGCAAUCGAACCAGAGGAGAGAAGCAAAAGAGGAUUGCUCUUCCAGAAACUCCUAAAAAAAUAGCUUAGUUGAUGACGUAAAACACGUUGUUUUGAUCCUUCCACGUGCCCAGAAGUGAGCCAGUAGAUUCUUAAAGUGAGAGCUUGCUUUAUUUAUGGGCCCUGCAAGGUAAAAGGUCCAGGACCCUCCACCCUGAGCUACCUACACCUCUACGGCUGUCGGCUGUCGGGCUACUGCCGCCGGGGGCGUGCCAGCAGGAGGGCUGUCUGAGCAAGCCCAGAACUAGCUGGGCUACGGCAGGUGCAGCCGUCAAAACCCACGGGCACGAUGGCUCUCUGUGUGCCUCUCCUCAAGCAAUCCCCGCGUCACCCUCAAGUGAACAGACUCCCUGGGUGUCCACUCAGCCUCACCUUGCGUCUGAGCUUAGGAGGGAGAGUUUAGACUCAGAGGGAGUAGAGGAGCAGCGACAUAGCCAAACAAAGCAAGAGACAAAAAACAAAAAACCCCGAAAACAACAAAAACAAAACAAAGAGGCAAAGCAAAACAAAAACACAAGGAAAGGAAGAAACAAGCGAUGCAGAGGCACAGGCGGAAAACAGGAUUCUGGUCUUUAAAAUGCUUAAGGUUUAAUAGCUUUUCAACAUUGAAAAAUAAUAAUCAAAGGGCACA